rnacentral:lncRNA from 10 species
CCCCCACCAUGUCCACUGACUCUGAGCCCAGCUCAGCACUAGGACUUGCCUAGGAACUGCAGUCCUUGUGACCUUGACUGCCAUUCAAGUUUAUUUACAACCCAGAGCAUUUUACCCCCAUGGUGGUAAGGCUUGCUGAAACUCAAGUUCCAUCCACUGGGUUGGGCAAUUCCCUUGGGCAAUUACCCUCUGGCUAGGGCUGGUCUAAAUACUCUCUCCAUCAUCAGCUGUCAGCUGAGUUCAGUUCGGUUUUGCUUUCACUGUGACAAAGCAGCAUCAAAUUCAAUGCAAUGUCUCACAAUAGCUGCGCUCUCCCUCUUCCAAGCACAGAGAUUCUCUCUCUACGCCACAAAGCCACUGCCAUGGGAUGGGGACAGGUGGCAUCAGCAACUCAAGACUGUCUUCCCUACCCUCUUCAUUGCCUCUUUCAACAGUAUGAAGUUAAAAUCAGGAGGAGUCAAGGCAGCUUUCAGGAAUUCUAACUACAGAAAUCAAGAAAGAGAAAGAUCAAAGUUACUAUGGACUGAAUGUUUGUGUCCUCCCCAAAAUUAAUAUGUUGAAGCCUAAUCCCUAAUGGGAUGGUAUUAAGAGGUGAGACCUUUGAGAGGUGAUUACGUCAUGAAGGUGGGGCUCUCAUGAAUGGGAUUAGUUCCCUUUUAAGAAGAAACAUAAAAGGAAAAAAAGAAAGAAAGAAAAAAAGAAAAAAUAAUAAAAAGAGAAGAAACGUAAGAGAGACCUCUCUCUCUCUCUUUCAAUCAAUCAAUAGCUAGAUCUCCCCCUCUCUACCAUGUGAGGAUACAACAAGAACACAGCCCUCUGCAAAGCAAGAAGAGUGUCCCCACCAGAUACUGAAUCUUCCAGCACCUUGAACUUGGACAUCUCAGCCUCCAAAACCAUGAUAAAUAAAAUUCUGUUAUUUCAGCCACCGAGUAUGUGGUAUUCUGUUAUAGCAGCCUGAACUAAGACGAAAUGGAGGUGUUACUCCCCAAGGGUACUCAUGCUGGCACCCUGAGGCCUUCUCAGCACAGAGCUGCAAAUGGGCAACCAAAUCUCAGGCCUUGCUGGUCAUUCUGAAGGUCACACUGACAGCCUAUGGUCAAGCAGAGCCAGCUGCACGAAGUCCUGGUAAGAAUUCCAUGAGAUCCCCCAUGCAAAGUGUUGGCACAGAGUAAGUUCUCAACACAUGUUGCUAUUGCUAUCAGUGCACAGGCUGAGGUGAAUGCGCAGCGAGCAGCAGGGACCAGCAUUUUAUCACUGGCCAGAGCAGUGCAUUCUCUCCCCAUGAGCAGCC